rnacentral:rRNA from 1 species
GGGCCCGCACAAGCAGCGGAGCAUGUGGUUUAAUUCGAAGCAACGCGAAGAACCUUACCAGGGCUUGACAUCCCUUGAAGUGAGUGGAAACACUUACGUCCUUUUGGACAAGGAGACAGGUGGUGCAUGGUUGUCGUCAGCUCGUGUCGUGAGAUGUUGGGUUAAGUCCCGCAACGAGCGCAACCCCUAUGGUUAGUUGCCAGCAUUAAAGGUGGGAACUCUAAUCAGACUGCCGGGGAUAACUCGGAGGAAGGUGGGGACGACGUCAAAUCAUCAUGCCCCUUAUGUUCUGGGCUACACACGUGCUACAAUGGCCGGUACAGAGGGCAGCGAAGGGGAGACUCGGAGCGAAUCCCAAAAAGCCGGUCCCAGUUCGGAUUGUGGGCUGCAACCCGCCCACAUGAAGCCGGAGUUGCUAGUAAUCGCGAAUCAGCAUGUCGCGGUGAAUGCGUUCCCGGGCCUU